CGAUCAAAGGAAUACAGAUGAGCUACUCAAACAGAUUAGGCAACACUCUUCGCCUUUCGGCGAUGGACUCCAACGUUUAGCUCAUUACUUUGCUAAUGGUCUUGAGAUAAGAUUGGCUGCCGAGACGCCAUCAUAUCAGCCUCUUUAUGUGGCAACUGCUGGAGAUAUGUUGAAAGCUUACAAACUAUUUGUUACUGCGUCUCCUUUGCAGAGAAUGACAAAUGCUUUGCUAACCAAAACGAUUUUCAAAAUAGUGAAGAACGAGAGCAGCGUUCAUGUUAUUGAUUUUGGAAUUUGCUAUGGUUUCCAGUGGCCGUGCCUCGUCAGAAAACUAUCAUUAAGACCUGGUGGUCCUCCGAAGCUUCGAAUUACAGGAAUUGAGCUUCCUCAGCGAGGAUUUAGACCUGCAGAAAGGGUGGAGGAAACCGGACGGCGUCUAGCAAACUACUGCAAGAAGUUCAAUGUACCAUUUGAAUACAACUUCAUUGCACAGAAAUGGGAAACCAUCCGUCUCAAGGAUCUAAAGAUAGACAGGAAUGAAAUAACUCUUGUUAGCUGUUUGUACAGACUGAAGAACCUUCCUGAUGAAACUGUGGCAUUGAAUUGUCCAAGAGAAGCUGUGUUGAAGCUGAUCAGGAAGAUUAAUCCAAAAGUCUUCUUCCAUGGAGUUGCCAAUGGAAGUUAUAACGCACCGUUUUUCCUGACUCGGUUUAAGGAAGCACUCUACCACUUCUCAUCGUUGUUUGAUAUGUUUGAGGCUAAUGUGCCUCGUGAAGACACGCAGAGGUCAAUGCUUGAGAGAGGGUUGUUUGGAAGGGAUGCUAUAAAUGUUAUAGCUUGUGAGGGUGCCGAGAGGGUCGAAAGGCCUGAGACCUACAAGCAGUGGCAGGUCAGGAACAAGAGAGCUGGGUUCAAGCAAAUCAGGUUGGAUUCUGAUUUGGUGAAUGAAACCAAAGCAAUGGUGAAGAAGGAAUACCAUAAAGAUUUUGUAGUCGAUGUGGAUUGUAAAUGGGUUUUGAAGGGAUGGAAAGGACGUAUUUUGUAUGCUUUAUCUGCUUGGGUUCCUGCUUAAGCAAAAUGUCCAAAAGGUGUUUUGAAUGGUAGAUUGAAGUUUCAAAAGGAAUAGUGAACCAACACAUACUAAUUUUGUAUUGAAAAAUGAAUUUGUUUUCAUUGGAAUUUAUUUUUAUGUCUAUGAUAUGAUCUGUUGUUGUUGUCAAGUGUUAAAAAGAUGUAUGUAGAUUAGAGAACAAGUCUUAUUGUUCCAUCAUGGAAUGGAAACAUGGGACCAACAAAAACAUUGAUCACAUUUUAAUGCAUUCACAUUGAAUUCAAAACAGAAGUUAGUACUUCAAAUGAUUUAUAUAUUGAUAUAAUAAUAACAGGUUGUGACGAAUGACUUGGGGAACAAGGGAAAACCUGCAUCUGACUCUUGCACAUGUUUGACCACUUCAUAUUAUUUCAUAUAUUUCUAAAACAUGAAAAAUCAAAGACUAGAUCACCCAGCACUUAUCAAUCAAUCUGGUAUUAUUACGAUAUAAUAUCAUAUCAUAUAUCAUCAUAAGAUAAAAUAAUAAGAAAGAGGGAUUGGCGGCUAUGAUACUCCUUCCUAGCAUCUUCCUUAGUACAAAGAAAGAAUCAUUUAUGAAUUCUAUAUAACAAAGCUGUGACUCCAAUUCAUCAAACAAUGUUAGCUCCUCUUCAGUUGUUAGAUAGCAACUUUUCCUAGGUUUGUCCACGGUUAUAUUCACUAGUGUCUACAAUAUUUUUACUCUAAUUCAUUCUUCUUUGUUCUAUUCUAAAUAUCAAAAUCAUUAUUAUCAUCCAAAAUAGAGUCGGCUAUGUAGUUUUAUGAAUCUUAUUUUCUUGCUGUUAUCAAAUAUAUCAAUCAACUAUGCUAUCUUUUCCUGCUUCUGUUUUUGUUCUGUCUAUGUUUUAGUUGAUUCAUCAAAGUUUUCCUAAUCAGAUGAAUAUUCUUGGCUUCUCAGACACAAUCUUCCAAAACAUAUAUUGUAAGAGUCUGAAUUUUUUGUUUCAAUUUUGAUAUUAGCCUUGUUUCAAUAUGCUUUCUCCAAACACCUUUCUGCAAGAUUUUAGUGUUCCAAACUCAGUAAACCAAGUAACAAAUGGGUUUGAAUUAGAAGAUUCACCAUCUUCACCUUCUUCUUCUGGCACAAGCUCAAAUGGACAAUUCUUGGAACCGACAAGAUAUUCCAAUAACAUCCUAAGAUACAUAAAUGACAUCCUCAUGGAUGAAGAAGAUGACUUGGAGCAAAAACCUUGCAUGUUGCAGGAAUGUUUAAGACUUCAGGCUGCUGAAAAGUCCUUCUAUGAUGUUCUUGGCCAUAACCAGCCUUCACCGAAUGAUAGCACUGACCCAGAUGGAAAUUUCAAUUGCGCUGCUAGUUUUGAGAGAAAUGGCAGCAGCUGCAUCGCUGAUAACUCAUAUGAAUCUAACUGGGUCAAUCAUGUCGUCGAAUUCGAAUCUUUUCCCAUACAACUAAAAAGUCCUUUAAUAGAAAAAAACUACUAUGACUUGACAGAAGCUGAUCCAGUUGUCAUCGAGACACAAGGUGCUAACCAUUUUCACAACGGAACUUGGAGUUGGAAUGACAUUCAACCAGUGACGUUGGAAGAAGUUUUACCUUCAACAGUACCAGAAAAAAGAAGUCGUAAGAUGGAUAGAGAUAAUGAUACUUGUAAUGAACAAGAGGGAAGAGGUAGCAAGGUUUCAGCUAUUCUCUCUGAUGAAUUAGAGCCACCAGAGAUUUUAGAUGAGGUACUGCUUUAUCAGAAAGGAAAGACUCUCACUCAAUACCAACAAGCAUCACAUAAUGUUGAUUCAGGAGGAAAGGCAAAGGAAACACAUUCGCGUUUGAAGAAAGCAUCUACGACAAACAAUGCCGCGGCUGUGGAUUUGUGGACCAUGCUAAAUCAAUGUGCACAAGCUGUGGCGAGCUACGAUCAAAGGAAUACAGAUGAGCUACUCAAACAGAUUAGGCAUCACUCUUCGCCUUUCGGCGAUGGACUCCAACGUUUAGCUCAUUACUUUGCUAAUGGUCUUGAGAUAAGAUUGGCUGCUGAGACGCCAUCAUAUCAGCCUCUUGAUGUGGCAACUGCUGGAGAUAUGUUGAAAGCUUACAAACUAUUUGUUACCGCGUCUCCUUUGCAGAGAGUGACAAAUACUUUGCUAACCAAAACGAUUUUCAAAAUAGUGAAGAACGA
rnacentral:lncRNA from 1 species